rnacentral:rRNA from 1 species
GACGAACGCUGGCGGCGUGCUUAACACAUGCAAGUCGAACGGAAAGGCCCUGCUUUUGUGGGGUGCUCGAGUGGCGAACGGGUGAGUAACACGUGAGUAACCUGCCCUUGACUUUGGGAUAACUUCAGGAAACUGGGGCUAAUACCGGAUAGGAGCUCCUGCUGCAUGGUGGGGGUUGGAAAGUUUCGGCGGUUGGGGAUGGACUCGCGGCUUAUCAGCUUGUUGGUGGGGUAGUGGCUUACCAAGGCUUUGACGGGUAGCCGGCCUGAGAUGGUGACCGGCCACAUUGGGACUGAGAUACGGCCCAGACUCCUACGGGAGGCAGCAGUGCGGAAUAUUGCACAAUGGGCGGAAGCCUGAUGCAGCAACGCCGCGUGCGGGAUGACGGCCUUCGGGUUGUAAACCGCUUUCGCCUGUGACGAAGCGUGAGUGACGGUAAUGGGUAAAGAAGCACCGGCUAACUACGUG